rnacentral:rRNA from 1 species
GACGAACGCUGGCGGCGUGCUUAACACAUGCAAGUCGAGCGGUAAGGCCCUUUCGGGGGUACACGAGCGGCGAACGGGUGAGUAACACGUGGGUGACCUGCCCUCAGCUCUGGGAUAAGCCUGGGAAACCGGGGUCUAAUACCGGAUAUGACUCCAUGACGCAUGUUGUGGGGUGGAAAGCCUUGUGCGGCUGAGGAUGGGCCCGCGGCCUAUCAGCUUGUUGGUGGGGUGAUGGCCUACCAAGGCGACGACGGGUAGCCGGCCUGAGAGGGCGACCGGCCACACUGGGACUGAGACACGGCCCAGACUCCUACGGGAGGCAGCAGUGGGGAAUCUUGCGCAAUGGGCGAAAGCCUGACGCAGCGACGCCGCGUGAGGGAUGACGGCCU